rnacentral:rRNA from 1 species
GACGAACGCUGGCGGCGUGCUUAACACAUGCAAGUCGAACGGUGAACCCCUUCGGAGGGGAGCAGUGGCGAACGGGAGAGUGACACGUAGGCAACCGGCCCCCGGCCCUGAGAUAACUACAAGAAAUUGGGGCUAAUGCCGGUAGCUCACCGGUGCUCGCGUGGCAGGGGGGGGGAAGGGUUUCUGGCGCGGGUGGGGAUGGAGGCGAAGCAGCGCGGCGUGUUGGUGGGGGCGUGGCAUACCAAGGCCAUGACGGGUAGCCGGCCUGAGAGGGUGACCGGCCACACUGGGACUGAGAUACGGCCCAGACUCCUACGGGAGGCAGCAGUGGGGAAUAUUGCGCAAUGGGCGGAAGCCUGACGCAGCGACGCCGCGUGCGGGAUGACGGCCUUCGGGUUGUAAACCUCUUUCGCCAGGGACGAAGCGCAAGUGACGGUAAUUGGUGAAGAAGCACCGGCCAACUACGUG